rnacentral:rRNA from 1 species
AUUGAACGCUGGCGGCAGGCCUAACACAUGCAAGUCGAGCGAGCGGCGGACGGGUGAGUAAUGUCUGGGAAACUGCCUGAUGGAGGGGGCUAACUACUGGAAACGGUAGCUAAUACCGCAUACCAUCAGAUGUGCCUAGGAGGGAUUAGUUAGUAGGUGGGGUAAUGGCCAACCUAGGCGACGAUCCCUAGCUGGUCUGAGAGGAUGGUCCGCCCCACUGGGACUGAGACACGGCCCAGACUCCUACGGGAGGCAGCAGUGGGGAAUAUUUGACAAUGGGGGGAACCCUGAUCCAGCCAUGCCGCGUGUGUGAAGAAGGCCUUACGGUUGUAAAGCACUUUAAGCGAGGAGGCGUUACUCGCAGAAUAAGCACCGGCUAACUCUGUGCCAGCAGCCGCGGUAAUUC